rnacentral:lncRNA from 1 species
UCCCGGUGUGUCAACCUCUGUGCUUCGUGGCAAGGUAGACUAGCAAACAUGCCCAACCUUUACUCACAUUCGAGAAAACACUCCCAACAAGAUUGCUUGCUCCAAAAUCGAAGAGGCACCGCCCUCCGAAUCUCGAGAGCCAAACUCCCAACACGAUUACUUUCUCAAAAAUCGAAGAGAGGGUAAAGGAACAGUACCACUGCUGGAUAAUUGGAAAG